UUCUCUAUCCUUCUCCCUCUCCCCCCUUCCCCCCCAUCCUCGGCUUUCGAGCCUCACGAUCCCCAAAGGAAACAGUGGGCCAGCCCCUCCCGCGGUAGGACAGUUCGGACAGCGGGUGAAUUAUCCGCCCUCGAGGUCCCAGCGCCCUAAGACCUUGGCGGCAAACUGGCCUUUCCUCCCUCCCUUCUCCUCUCAGGGGGCGAAGCCUGUUGGGGGCGGGGGAGAGACCCCCGAUGAGGCGUCCGGGGUGAGCCAACGCUUUCUAAAGGCCGGAUGAGAGGCGGGGCCGUCGCCAUUCCCAGGCGUUCACACGAGAUGAGCUUGUCUAUGCUAAUCCCCGUUGCCAGGAGAACGGCAAGCAACAGGAACAGACCUCAUCAGGGAUGGCCCUGGAACGACAGCAUGCCUUAGUGGAAAGAGCACGGGCCUGG